rnacentral:rRNA from 1 species
UAACACGUGGAUAACCUACCUAUAAGACUGGGAUAACUUCGGGAAACCGGAGCUAAUACCGGAUGAUAUUUUGAACCGCAUGGUUCAAAAGUGAAAGACGGUCUUGCUGUCACUUAUAGAUGGAUCCGCGCUGCAUUAGCUAGUUGGUAAGGUAGCGGCUUACCAAGGCAACGAUGCAUAGCCGACCUGAGAGGGUGAUCGGCCACACUGGAACUGAGACACGGUCCAG